rnacentral:rRNA from 1 species
UACGGAAGGUCCGGGCGUUAUCCGGAUUUAUUGGGUUUAAAGGGAGCGUAGGCUGGGGUCUAAGCGUGUUGUGAAAUGUAGGCGCUCAACGUCUGAAUUGCAGCGCGAACUGGUCCCCUUGAGUUCGCUGGAAGUAGGCGGAAUUCGUGGUGUAGCGGUGAAAUGCUUAGAUAUCACGAAGAACUCCAAUUGCGAAGGCAGCCUGCUGUAGCGUUACUGACGCUGAAGCUCGAAAGCGCGGGUAUCGAACAGG